rnacentral:rRNA from 1 species
UACGUAGGGUGCGAGCGUUGUCCGGAAUUAUUGGGCGUAAAGGGCUCGUAGGCGGUUUGUCGCGUCGGGAGUGAAAACCCAGGCUUAACCCUGGGCUGGCUUUCGAUACGGGCAGACUAGAGGUAUGCAGGGGAGAACGGAAUUCCUGGUGUAGCGGUGAAAUGCGCAGAUAUCAGGAGGAACACCGGUGGCGAAGGCGGGAUCUCUGGGCAGUAACUGACGCUGAGGAGCGAAAGCGUGGGGAGCGAACAGG